AUACGUAGGGGGCGAGCGUUGUCCGGAAUUAUUGGGCGUAAAGAGCAUGUAGGCGGCUUAAUAAGUCGAGCGUGAAAAUGCGGGGCUCAACCCCGUAUGGCGCUGGAAACUGUUAGGCUUGAGUGCAGGAGAGGAAAGGGGAAUUCCCAGUGGAGCGGUGAAAUGCGUAGAUAUUGGGAGGAACACCAGUGGCGAAGGCGCCUUUCUGGACUGUGUCUGACGCUGAGAUGCGAAAGCCAGGGUAGCGAACGGGAUUAGAUACCCCGGUAGUCCUGGCCGUAAACGAUGGGUACUAGGUGUAGGAGGUAUCGACCCCUUCCGUGCCGGAGUUAACGCAAUAAGUCCCCCGCCUGGGGAGUACGGCCGCAAGGUUGAAACUUAAAGGAAUUGACGGGG
rnacentral:rRNA from 1 species